AUAGAGACUUCGGUCAAUUGAAACUUUGACUUAGUGGCGGACGGGUGAGUAACGCGUGAGGAACCUGCCUUUCAGUGGGGGACAACAGUUGGAAACGACUGCUAAUACCGCAUAAUGUUUACGGACCGCAUGGUCUGGAAACCAAAGCUUUAUGUGCUGAAAGAUGGCCUCGCGUCUGAUUAGAUAGUUGGUGGGGUAACGGCCCACCAAGUCAACGAUCAGUAGCCGGACUGAGAGGUUGAACGGCCACAUUGGGACUGAGAUACGGCCCAGACUCC
rnacentral:rRNA from 1 species